rnacentral:lncRNA from 1 species
CUUUAGUGUCUCAAAUUUUAUAGGCAUUUAUUUUUCAUUUUCAUUUCUAUUAUAUUUAUAGAGAGCUGUGUGAACAGACAGCAUUCACACCACUUUCAGAGAAAGUGUUGUCUGUAAGUUGUAUUCCCUUAGCACGUUGAAUUUUAAGACAAAUCUAGACUUCUUGCACAGUCUUAUUGUUCAGAGUCAACCACAGCAGACAUGAUAUUUAAGGAGCAGAUAGAAGGGGGAAGACAGGGUUGCUGUGAAAAUCCUUCUCUCUUACCACUUGCCAGAGGUUAAGUAAAGCCCUAAGGGAGCUGGACAGGAGUAUGAUCAAAUGGAUAGUCUGUCACUUGCUCGCUUUACUCAAAGUCAACCAGGAGUUACCUCUUAGUGGAAAGUUAUUUCACUUGACUACCAGAAACAGAAGGAGGAGGGGCUGUGGUUUCUUUCCAUACCUGCAGGAGGUCAGUGGCCACUGCAGGAACAGGAAGGGAAAUGUGCAGAUUUCAAGAGAGAUUUAUUCUUUUUCGUGCAAUAAGAUAUGCAAGAAAUAAUGCUAUGUAAGAACUGAAACAAGGCCAACUACACCCCCUCUGCUCUUGCAAAUGUAGAAGCAGAGAUAUCUAAACAGUAAGAGGACCAGCUCUUUCAAGAAGGAAAUUUGUAAAGAUAACAUGAACAGUGGCUGUCAUUAAAAGUCAAAUGACUACUUCUAGAUGUUGUUGGUGAGGGUUAUCAGAAGGCAAAUAUGGCACAUUAGAUUAUGCAACCUCAUUCCAGGGUUUUGCUGUGUUUUCCUGUCUUAAGAAGAGCACCUUGUGCUUCUUGAUAAAACAAAGACCUGAUUCAGCACAAAAAAAUAACGAAGAGAAAAAGGCAACACCCAUAGUAAUAAAGUAACCUGUAUUUGUUUUACUGUAUUUCA